rnacentral:other from 1 species
AUGUUUUGAAUCAACCUACUGAUUUUUAAUCACCCUUUUCCCCUGAGUAAAGUGAAGAAUUGCUGUGUGUAGUCUUUGCCCAUCCCCUGUGAUGGGCUUUUUUUUGC